UGCUGGAAGUGGUGCUGGAGGCU
rnacentral:miRNA from 1 species